ACUUUGUUCUCUAUUCUCUCACAAUUCCCUCAGCUUCUCAUCCUGUACGUGCUGUAUUUUCUUGGCUUUCUGCUACUUUGAGUUGUUCCGAAAUGGCUGAUCAAAUUCCAUUCGGUGUUGUGGAGCACAUUUUGACCAAGUUGGGGUCCAAGGCGUUUCAAGAAAUUGGAUCCAUGUAUGGUGUUCCAAAGGAGAUGACCAAGCUCAAUGGGAAACUGGGCACCAUCAAGGCUGUGCUUUUGGAUGCUGAGGAGAAGCAGCAACAGCAGAGCAAUCGUGCAGUCAAAGAUUGGGUCCGGAGGUUCAGAGGUGUUGUUUAUGACGCAGAUGACUUGGUGGAUGACUAUGCAACCCAUUAUCUUCAGCGAGGAGGAUUGGGAAGGCAGGUCAGUGACUUCUUCUCAUCUGAAAAUCAAGUUGCUUUUCGUUUAAACAUGAGUCAUAGACUCGAAGAUAUCAAAGAAAGGAUAGAUGAUAUUGCAAAAGAAAUCCCCAUGUUAAAUCUGACUCCACGGGACAUAGUACUACACACACGGGUGGAGAAUAGUGGGAGAGACACCCAUUCAUUCGUGUUAAAAUCUGAAAUGGUAGGAAGAGAAGAAAACAAAGAGGAGAUAAUAGGGAAGUUAUUGUCGUCCAAGGGUGAAGAAAAGCUUUCGGUUGUUGCCAUUGUAGGCAUUGGGGGGUUGGGUAAGACCACCCUUGCUCAAUUGGUAUACAAUGAUGAAAGAGUGGUCAAUCAUUUUGAGUUUAAGAUAUGGGCUUGCAUUUCUGAUGAUUCUGGUGAUGGUUUUGAUGUUAAUAUGUGGAUCAAAAAAAUUUUAAAAUCUCUGAAUGAUGGGGGUGCUGAAAGUCUGGAGACUAUGAAAACUAAGCUUCAUGAAAAAAUAAGUCAAAAGAGGUACUUGCUAGUCCUCGAUGAUGUUUGGAAUCAAAAUCCUCAACAAUGGGAUCACGUGAGAACUUUAUUAAUGGUUGGUGCUAUAGGUAGUAAAAUUGUAGUAACCACCAGAAAACCUAGAGUUGCAUCACUCAUGGGAGAUUAUUUUCCAAUUAAUUUGAAAGGUCUUGAUGAAAACGAUUCUUGGAGGUUGUUUUCAAAAAUCACAUUUAAAGAUGGAGAGAAGGAUGUGCAUACAAACAUCACCCAAAUUGGAAAAGAAAUUGCAAAAAUGUGUAAGGGAGUUCCUCUCAUUAUUAAGUCUUUAGCAAUGAUAUUGCGGUCUAAAAGAGAACCGGGGCAGUGGUUGUCUAUUAGAAACAAUAAAAAUUUGCUGUCACUCGGAGAUGAAAAUGAGAAUGUUGUAGGGGUGCUGAAAUUAAGUUAUGAUAAUUUGCCAACUCAUUUGAGACAAUGUUUUACAUAUUGUGCUUUAUUUCCAAAAGACUAUGAGAUUGAGAAAAAGUUGGUGGUACAACUAUGGAUAGCACAAGGUUAUAUUCAAUCUUCAAAUGAUAAUAAUGAGCAAUUAGAGGAUAUAGGGGAUCAAUAUUUUGAGGAAUUAUUGUCAAGGUCAUUGUUGGAAGAGGUUGAAGAUGAUUUUGCUAAUACAGUAAUGUAUAAAAUGCAUGACCUUAUACAUGAUCUUGCACAAUCAAUUGUAGGAUCUGAGAUCCUUGUUUUAAGAAGUGAUGUAAAUAAUAUUCCAAAAGAAGCUCAUCAUGUAUCAUUGUUUGAAGAGAUAAAUCUUAUGAUCAAGGCUCUAAAGGGAAAACCCAUAAGAACCUUUCUUUGUAAAUAUUCUUAUGAAGAUAGUACAAUUGUAAAUUCAUUUUUUUCGAGUUUUAUGUGUCUACGUGCGUUGAGUUUAGAUGAUAUGGAUAUAGAGAAGGUGCCAAAGUGUUUAAGUAAAUUGAGUCAUUUAAGGUAUCUUGAUCUUUCCUACAACAAUUUCGAGGUACUUCCAAAUGCUAUUACAAGGUUAAAGAAUUUGCAAACACUAAAACUCACAAGCUGUCGAAGAUUAAAAAGAAUUCCAGACAAUACAGGAGAAUUGAUCAAUCUUAGACACUUGGAGAAUGAUAGCUGUUAUAACUUGGCUCAUAUGCCACAUGGAAUCGGCAAGUUGACUUUACUUCAAAGUCUACCAUUGUUUGUGGUUGGGAAUGACAUAGGGUUAAGGAAUCACAAAAUUGGUAGCUUGAGUGAAUUGAAAGGCCUUAACCAACUAAGAGGAGGGUUAUGCAUAAGUAAUCUUCAAAACGUGAGGGAUGUUGAACUGGUAUCCAGGGGGGGAAUUUUGAAAGAAAAACAAUAUCUUCAGUCCUUGAGAUUGGAAUGGAAUCGGUGGGGCCAAGAUGGGGGGGAUGAGGGUGAUCAGUCAGUGAUGGAAGGCCUUCAACCACACCAACAUCUAAAGGAUAUCUUUAUAGACGGGUAUGGAGGUACGGAGUUUCCAAGUUGGAUGAUGAAUAGCCUGCUUCCUAACCUAAUUAAAAUUGAAAUUUGGGGAUGUUCAAGAUGCAAAAUUCUGCCACCCUUUUCUCAACUCCCUUCUCUCAAGUCUUUGGGGCUUCAUGAUAUGAAAGAAGUGGUGGAGUUAAAGGAGGGUUCAUUAACAACGCCACUCUUCCCAUCUCUUGAAUCGCUCGAACUCUCUUUCAUGCCAAAGUUGAAGGAAUUGUGGAGGAUGGACUUACUAGCAGAGGAAGGUCCUUCCUUUUCUCAUCUUUCUCAAUUAAAGAUCAGUUAUUGCCAUAACUUGGCAUCCUUGGAACUGCAUUCUUCUCCUUCUCUUUCUCAAUUAGAGAUCCAUUAUUGCCCAAACUUGACAUCCUUGGAACUGCCGUCAUCUCUUUGUCUUUCUAAUUUAUAUAUCGGAUAUUGCCCUAACUUGGCAUCCUUGGAACUGCAUUCUUCUCCUUGUCUUUCUCGAUUAGAAAUCAGGGAAUGCCCUAACUUGGCAUCCUUCAAAGUGGCUCCAUUACCUUAUCUUGAGACACUAUCUCUGUUCACAGUUAGAUAUGGUGUGAUAUGGCAGAUAAUGUCUGUCUCUGCUUCAUUGAAGUUUCUGUAUAUUGAAAGCAUAGAUGAUAUGAUAUCUCUCCCGAAGGAGCUACUUCAACAUGUUUCUGGCUUGGUAACGUUACAGAUCCGUGAGUGUCCUAACUUGCAAUCCUUGGAACUGCCCUCAUCUCCUUCUCUUUCUGAAUUAAGGAUCAUAAAUUGCCCUAACUUGGCAUCCUUCAAUGUGGCAUCAUUACCUCGUCUUGAGAAACUAAGCCUGCGUGGAGUCAGAGCAGAGGUACUGAGGCAGUUAAUAUUUGUCUCUGCUUCUUCUUCAUUGAAGUCUCUGCGUAUACGGGAGAUUGAUGGUAUGAUAUCUCUCCCAGAGGAGCCGCUUCAAUAUGUUUCCACUCUCGAAACUCUCUACAUUGUUAAGUGCUCUGGUUUGGCAACAUUACUACACUGGAUGGGCAGCCUUUCCUCGCUUACGGAACUUAUUAUUUAUGACUGCUCUGAAUUGACAUCACUGCCAGAAGAGAUCUGUUCCCUUAAAAAACUGCAGAAAUUUUAUUUCUGUGAUUAUCCACACCUAGAGAAAAGAUACAACAAGGAAACAGGUAAAGACCGGGCCAAGAUUGAUCAUAUCCCACGUAUUAAUUUCCAAAGUGAUCGAGUUAUGGAAUAUAAGUUGUACAUUCUAAGAGUUUGAGGAAAUACUGAGGUCUGGUAUGAUAACUCUCAAUCCUUGGAACUGCAUUCAUCUCCUUCUCUUUCUCGAUUAACGAUCCAUGAUUGCCCAAACUUGGCAUCAUUACCUCGUCUUGAGGAACUAAGCCUGCGUGGAGUCAGAGCAGAGGUACCGAGGCAGUUCAUGUUUGUCUCUGCUUCUUCUUCAUUGAAGUCUUUGCAUAUACGGAAGAUUGAUGGUAUGAUAUCUCUCCCAGAGGAGCCGCUUCAAUAUGUUUCCACUCUCGAAACUCUACAUUGUUAAGUGCUCUGGCUUGGCAACAUUACUACACUGGAUGGGCAGCCCUUCCUCGCUUACGGAACUUAUUAUUUAUGACUGCUCUGAAUUGACAUCACUGCCAGAAGAGAUCUAUUCCCUUAAAAAACUGCAGAAAUUUUAUUUCUGUGAUUAUCCAGACCUGGAGGAAAGAUACAAGAAGGAAACAGGUAAAGACCGGGCCAAGAUUGCUCAUAUCCCACGUGUUCGUUUCAAGUGUGAUUUCAAAUUGAAAUGGAAGCUUGGAUGCGCUUUCCGAUGAUGUGCACUAAACUAACCAUUUUACUUGGAGUUGUACAUUCUUAGAGUUUGAGGAAAUACUGAGACCCAAGAAUACAUAGGGCCACACUUGGUGAAGGUUUCAUCAGUAAGGAGAACCAUUUCAAAGUUUGUAGAAGAGAAGAAAGAUUUGAUCCAAGAUAUUCCUAAAGAUCGGAAAAUUUCAAAGCCACCCAAGAUCGCACAGCCUACCUUAAUAAUUUGGGGAGACCAAGAUAAGGUAUUCCUAGUAGAACUGGCUCACAAAUUGAAAAGGCAUUUCAGGCGAGGAGACCCAACUUGUGAUCAUAGAGCAUACUUUUAUCAUAGAGAAGCCCAAGGAAAUAUUUAAGCACUUGAAAUCAUUUCUCAUUGAUUUGCUUCCACCUCCCAAGCAACACCUAGAACCACUCCCACCAUGACGAAGUUAAAAGAACUUGGAAUUCAUGGCUACCCUGAAUUGACAUCCCUGGCAGAAGAUAUGUUCCCUCAAAAGCCUGUAGACACUAAAACAAUUUGCAUAUGUUCACACUUAGAGGAAAGAUGCUGAAAGGAAAAGUGAAGACUAAGCGAAGAUUGCUUAUAUCCCACAAAUUGAUAUCAUACAUCCAUGAAGAUUGAACUGAUACAAAAUGCCUUUCAG